GUAAGACAAGAGGAAUUCCCAGCAUAUGGAUUAGAGUAAACCUUUUUGCUUCUGAUUAUAGAUGAUAGAGAUGCUUACAACAUAUUGUUUUUCCCUUUAUUUGAAACAAGAAGGAAAAAAAUAUCUCAGUGUUAAAUUUAAGGCACCUUUCUAAACAAUUAAUAUACAUUUAUUAGAACAAAGGACUUUGUGGUGAUGACAAGUCAGCACAGCUCUUUCAGGAGUAUUGUGAACCACUCUCUUCACAUUUUGCUGUUUCUGCAGUCAGAUAAGCUGUAACAUAUUGUCAUAAAGUGGGUCGCCGCAAACGUGUAAGAGGAUUACCAGAAGAGAGUACUCCCAAGGCUGGGAACGCAUUGAUGGACUUUGAGGAGACUGUCUCCUUGAAAGAAAAAUUGGCUCUGUACCAGGCUGCUGUGUCCAAGGCAGACAGCAGCAACUCCUUUUCUAGUACUCCAGAGAAAACCAAAUCCUCUACUGUGUCUGGUGGCCUGGCAACAGUAAGGAAACAAUUUGAGAAAGGGAAGAUGACCUCUUCAAACAGGACCUUUGCUCAAUACCAGCACCAGCAGAAAUCUGCACAGGUAACAAUGGCAUUUUUAAUACUAAAAUGUGAGGGAUGCCCUGCUAAACAGCUUGAUGGAAAAAUAUGAUUAUAUGUUCUAAUGAAGCAUUACAGGCAAGACAGUGUUUUCACAGAGUUCAUACUUGUAGGAGUCUCUCUUUAAGGAUAUACUACAUUACACAUUCAGCA
rnacentral:lncRNA from 1 species